rnacentral:rRNA from 1 species
CCAAGGAGUCUAACAUGUGCGCGAGUCGUCGGGUCUUGGACAGGCCCGCAGGCGCAAUGAAAGUGAAGGGCGACCCCGUCGUCGCCUGCGUUGGGAUCCCCGGUCCCUCGGGUCCGGGGCGCACCAACGGCCCGUCCCGUCUGCAGCGUCAGUGGGACGGAGCGAGAGCGUACACGUUGGGACCCGAAAGAUGGUGAACUAUGCCUGGGCAGGACGAGGCCAGAGGAAACUCUGGUGGAGGUCCGCAGCGAUUCUGACGUGCAAAUCGAUCGUCAGACCUGGGUAUAGGGGCGAAAGACUAAUCGAACCAUCUAGUAGCUGGUUCCCUCCGAAGUUUCCCUCAGGAUAGCUGGCGCUCGAAGGGAGUCAGUCUCAUCCGGUAAAGCGAAUGAUUAGAGGCCUUGGGGCCGAAACGACCUCAACCUAUUCUCAAACUUUCAAUGGGUGAGAAGUCCGGUUUACAUGACUGAAGCCCGGACAAUUCUCAGGAUGUGAGUGCCCAGUGGGCCACUUUU